UAACAAAAAACAUUUAUUAAGUGCUACGUGUUUUACAAAUAUUAACUCAAACCUCACAUCCAUCUUUUAAAGUAAGUGCUCUUGUUAUUUCCUUUUACAGCUGACCAAAGUGAGGCAUGGGGGUUUAAUAAGCUUACCCAAAACUACACAGCAAGGAGGAAGCUGCGUCGGGAAUCAAACUCAGUCACUGUGGCCCCCAAGACCAUGCUCAUAACCAUGAGGUAAAAAAUGUGCCUCCUCUUCUAAUUUCUGUCUCACAGUGGGCCCAGACAUGGUUUCAAUACAGCUCAGCAGAGCAAUGCAGCAAAUCCAGGUAGGGACACUAAAAUACUCAGAAAAGACCAACCAAACAACCAAAGCAUAACAUCAGCAAUAGGACAACCAAUAUGAAUCAUGAGAACCCUCUGGCUUUAUUAAAUUUGGGGGAAGAAAUCAAGGUCAGGAAAUCAAGUGACUGGUGGCGGGGCAUAGAAAGGAGUGUCUCCCCCGGUUUCUGCUCUGGCGGGCGGGUGUCAGCGGAUGGUGUACUUGUCCCACUUCUUCUCGGGGUCGUAGGCCUCCCAGCGGCUGGCGGGGAAGAUGUGCUUGUUCUUCUCGUACCAGCUCCGCAGCACCACCUUGCCCGCGUGAGACUCGUCCUUCUCCAUGGUGGCGUCGCUGAGCAGGCGCACGUCGUCGUGCACAUCGAAGUUGAAGAGCGGCCCGCUCUUGCCCCUUGCCUUGGCGAUGAUGAAGUCAUAGAAGGUGUGGUAGUGCGGCAGGAUGAGGUCCUCCUUGAUGAACAUGAGCUGCUCCACGCCCGCGGAGCGCAGCUCCAGGAAGUCCUUGCGCAGCCCCUGCAGCGCCUUCUUCAGGAACUGCUGCACCGUGUUGCCCUUGCGCACACGCACCGUGCGCCGGUGGCCCGAGCCGUCCCAGUAGCUGAAGGUGACCUCCAUCUCCUCGUCCUUCACUUUCUCGCGCUGCGCCUCCCACUCUUGGCGCAGCUCCUCCCGGAGCCGGUUCUCCUCCUCCUCGCGGUCGCGGUCGGGCAGGAAGCUGGUGUCCACGUCGGGGUUCUUGCCCAGGUUUCCGGCGCGCCUGGCCUCGGCCGCGUCCGCCUGGUCAUCGAGGUCGUCGGCCGAAGGACAGGCAGGAGAUCUUACGCUUGCGCUCGCGGUGCUCCUGCUCCCGCAGCCGCUCCUGCUGCAGCCGCUGCUCCUCCAGCUGCUGGCGCUUGGCCAGCUGCCGCUCGCGCUCCCUGAUCAGGGCCUCCUGCCGGGCCUUCAUGUCGUUCAGGGUCACCAGGCCCACCGUGCUGGACUUCAGCUCGGCCUCCACGGCAUCGUAGUGCGCCGAGAACUUCUUGUCCACCUGCGACUUGAGGAUGGUCUCCUCGGCGAUGCGCUGCUUCAGCACCUCCAUCUGCUCCCGCUGCUUCUCGCGCUUCUUGAGGAGGUGCAUGGCACGGCCCGCCUCGCGCAUGGUGCCCUUGUACUGCGCCAUGGCCCCCGCCUACCCGCUGGGCUCUGCAGCAAAGAGGAAAAACGGGGCAAGUAGAGAGGGGCCCGUGCAACUGCGGGAAAUGCAAAGCUCUGCGCCUCCUCACAGGGCUUUCGGCAGUGAUGGAAGCGUUUAGGGGCUGGGCCGACCUGCUAGGGUCACCAACCUGACGGUGUCACCACGCACCAAUUUCCAGCCUUUUCUUUGACCUCAAUAAAUGCAAAUGCAAAUGGCCCCACGUAACUGGUGGCUGCCAUGCCUGAGCGCUGCGCUGAAUUUGGGGAGCUGCAUACAGAGAGGGUUGGGCUACUGAGCGAACCCUUACCUGCCCAAGCACCCUGCCGAGCGGAGACACGCGGGAGUUGACCUCCACGAGAACCACCCACGAGCAAAGGCCCACCCGUCCCGGGCUCUCGCGACAGCCAC
rnacentral:lncRNA from 1 species